UUUUGAGGGACAUGAAGUAUGAUCUCCUCCAUAUCCUCCAGAUCUUCACUUCAUCAAACUGGUAGGAGCCUGGGAAAUAGGUGAAGAGGACCUGGGGUUGAGACACAGCCUGGAAAGCACCAAGUGACAUAAAAUCCAUCCAGAAUUCUCUACGUUAAUCAACAGCAUUAAGGAGGCUCUCACCUGCCAGGAAAUGCUGAACUUUGACUUCCAUGAGAAAACAGAAAUCUGAGCGUGUAGAUCUCAUCAUGUGAACACAUCCCAGCACGGACUUGCAUGAGCUCAUUACCUGUUCUCUCUGGAGCAAUGAAGCGCAGCUUUCAAAUUGGUUUCCUGCAGUUUUGCCCUUUUUUUUAGCCAUUUCAGAGUCUCACCCAAAUGGAUAAUAAAAGAAUGUUAUGACUGUGCAUGCAAAUAUAAUUUAAGGUAACAA